rnacentral:rRNA from 1 species
AACGAACGCUGGCGGCAUGCCUAACACAUGCAAGUCGAACGAGACCUUCGGGUCUAGUGGCGCACGGGUGCGUAACGCGUGGGAAUCUACCCUUGGGUUCGGAAUAACAGUUAGAAAUGACUGCUAAUACCGGAUGAUGACGUAAGUCCAAAGAUUUAUCGCCCAAGGACGAGCCCGCGUAAGAUUAGCUUGUUGGUGGGGUAAUGGCCUACCAAGGCGACGAUCUUUAGCUGGUCUGAGAGGAUGAUCAGCCACACUGGGACUGAGACACGGCCCAGACUCCUACGGGAGGCAGCAGUGGGGAAUAUUGGACAAUGGGCGAAAGCCUAAUCCAGCAAUGCCGCGUGAGUGAUGAAGGCCUUAGGGUUGUAAAGCUCUUUUACCAGGGAUGAUAAUGACAGUACCUGGAGAAUAAGCUCCGGCUAACUCCGUGCCAGCAGCCGCGGUAA